UUCCUCGGUGUUUCGCACAAUCGACCGAUCCAGUCUGUUAAUCAAAACUGACGCAUGCGUCAAUUUUGGCCAAUCAGCAGGCCGGGCGCUUUGUGGAUUUGUCAGAUUUA